rnacentral:lncRNA from 1 species
AAACACCAGAUCCCAUCACAGAUGGUUGUGAGCCACCAUGUAGUUGCUGGGAAUAGAACUCAGGACCUGUGGAAGAGCAUUCAGUGCCUUAACCGCUGAGCCAUCUCUCCAGCUCCUCUUUUAGUUUAUGUACCUUUUCUUUUAUGUUUUAAAAUAUAUUUGAAGAGGAAGACACUUUAAACAAUCAGAGUAAAAGCUGAGUGAUGGUGGUGCACAACUUUGAUCCCAGGACUCAGAAGGCAGAGGCAGGCAGAUCUCUUAAGUUCAAGGCCAGCCUGGUCUACAAUCAAAUUCCAGGAUAGGAAGAGAAAAUAAAGAAAAAAGAAAUUACUAUUUUGUUCUCUCUCUCUUGCUCGCUCUCUCCCUCUCUCCUUCCCUCUCUCCCUCCUUCUCUCCCUUUAUUUCUUUAUUUUAUGUAUAUAAGUAUACUGUUGCUUCAGACACACCAGAAGAGGGCAUCAGAUCUCAUUACAGAUGGUUGUGAGCCCACCAUGUGGUUGCUGGGAAUUGAACUCAGGACCUCUGAACAGCAGUCAGUGCUCUUAACCGCUGAGCCAUCUCUCCAGCCCGCUAUUCUUUGAGGACAGUAUUGAUGAUGCCAAGUAUUGUGGGCGCCUCUAUGGCCUGGGCACAGGAGUGGCCCAGAAGCAGAAUGAGGAUGUGGACUCUGCCCAGGAGAAGAUGAGCAUCUUGGCCAUGAUCA